CACGUAGGGUGCGAGCGUUUGUCCGGAAUUAUUGGGCGUAAAGAGCUCGUAGGCGGUGUGUCGCGUCGGCCGUGAAAACCUGCAGCUUAACUGUGGGCUUGCGGUCGAUACGGGCAUCACUGGAGUGCGGUAGGGGAGAAUGGAAUUCCUGGUGUAGCGGUGGAAUGCGCAGAUAUCAGGAGGAACACCGAUGGCGAAGGCAGUUCUCUGGGCCGUGAACUGACGCUGGAGGAGCGAAAGCGUGGGGAGCGAACAGG
rnacentral:rRNA from 1 species